GGUGAGAUGGCCGAGCGGUCUAAGGCGCCAGACUAAGGCACUGAGGGUCGGAAUCUGGUCCGAAAGGGCGUGGGUUCGAAUCCCACUCUCAUCA